rnacentral:rRNA from 1 species
UACGUAGGGGGCAAGCGUUGUCCGGAUUUAUUGGGCGUAAAGAGCUCGUAGGUGGUUUGGUAAGUCGGAUGUGAAAUCUCCAGGCUCAACCUGGAGGGGUCAUUCGAUACUGGGUGGCUUGAGUCUGGUAGGGGGACCUGGAAUUCCUGGUGUAGCGGUGAAAUGCGCAGAUAUCAGGAAGAACACCCGUGGCGAAGGCGGCUCUCUGGGACGGUACUGACGCUGAGACGCGAAAGCGUGGGGAGCGAACAGG